rnacentral:rRNA from 1 species
ACGGAAGGCAGCAGUAGGGAAUCUUCGGCAAUGGGGGCAACCCUGACCGAGCAACGCCGCGUGAGUGAAGAAGGUUUUCGGAUCGUAAAGCUCUGUUGUAAGAGAAGAACUUGUGUGAGAGUGGAAAGUUCACACAUUGACGGUAACUUACCCGAAAGGGACGGCUAACUACGUGCCAGCAGCCGCCUUAAUACGUAGGUCCCUAGCGUUGUCCGGAUUUAUUGGGCGUAAAGCGAGCGCAGGCGGUUUAAUAAGUCUGAAGUUAAAGGCAGUGGCUAAACCAGUGUUCGCUUUGGAAACUGUUAGACUUGAGUGCAGAAGGGGAGAGUGGAAUUCCAUGUGUAGCGGUGAAGUGCGUAGAUAUAUGGAGGAACACCGGUGGCGAAAGCGGCUCUAUGGUCUGUAACUGACGCUGAGGCUCGAAAGCGUGGGGAGCAAACAGGAUUAGAUACCCCGGUA